rnacentral:lncRNA from 10 species
CCUCUGUGGAGGAGCCUGAGAGAAAGGCUCAUGGAGGGCAGAGGGUGGAGGGCGUGGGACCAAGUUCCUUAGAUAAGGCUGUGGCCCCAUGGUAAGGGUCUGGACGGGGAAGGGCCUCGGAUCAUCAGCCAGUGUCAGGUGUCACAGCAUAGCCAAGCGACCAGACGAGCAGAUGAGACCUUGUUAAUCUCCAGUGGUGAUGAGUAACCGUUCUCUCUAUCACAUAUCACAUACUGGGGAUUCAUCCAGGUGGCGCUAGGAGGGAUCUUCGCCGCAGAGGGCAUUCGAGAGAUGACAACUCUAGACAUCCAUGCAACUUCUGUUCUUGUGCUCCUGCUGUUUUCAAAUUCCACAGUCACAGACUGCACCCUGGAAAACUCAGGACACCCUAGAGUGAACUGCUCUGAAGAACAAAGUUGCUACUUGCUUGCUACCUCUGGUUGCUACCCCUGGUUGUGUUUGGUUGCCACAUAAUGAAAUGAUUUUCCUUCCCUCUUUUAUUUCCUUUCUUUCUUUUUUUUCUGCUACAAAUGGAAAAAUAGUUUGAUCACCUUGAAUCUUUUCACCCUUGGUAUUCUCCCCCUUCACACCCGAGCACCGCCCCUUGAUAAAUGAGAACACGUGUACUGAAAUCGCAGACUUCACCCUCCAGACUCAUCGUCCUCAUGCUCUCAGGGGGGACAUGUUUCCUUUCAAACCUCCAGAAUAAAUUCAUCACAGCAGGAAGAAGAUUGUUUUUCUUAAAAAAAAUCAAAU